rnacentral:sRNA from 1 species
GCGGCCGCCGCGCCCCCGCCGGAGCUGCCGGAGUGGCUGCGGGACCUGCCUCGCGAGGUGUGCCUCUGCACCAGUACUGUGCCCGGCCUGGCCUACGGCAUCUGCGCGGCGCAGAGGAUCCAGCAAGGCACCUGGAUUGGACCUUUCCAAGGCGUGCUUUUGUCCCCAGAGAAGGUGCAGGCAGGCGCCGUGAGGAACACGCAGCACCUCUGGGAGAUAUAUGACCAGGAUGGGACACUACAGCACUUUAUUGAUGGUGGGGAACCUAGUAAGUCGAGCUGGAUGAGGUAUAUCCGAUGUGCAAGGCACUGCGGAGAACAGAAUCUAACAGUAGUUCAGUACAGUAAAUGUCCCUUCAACGGUAAUGGAAGCCAUGUGCAGACAAGACACCCUGCAGCCCUUCAACAAAAGCAGCAAACUCGCCCCUACCACCCAGCAGCGCUCCAUUGUUUUCCCCCAGACUCCAUGCAGCAGGAACUUCUCUCUUCUGGAUAAGUCUGGGCCCAUUGAAUCA